AUGGAAUUCUGCAACUCCACCUUGGGAAGUGGCUUCAUCUUGGUGGGGAUUCUGGAUGACAGUGGUUUUCCAGAACUGCUCUGUGCCACUAUCACAUCCCUAUACUUUUUAGCCGUGACCAGUAAUGGACUGCUGCUGCUGGUCAUCACCAUGGAUGCCCGGCUCCAUGUGCCCAUGUACCUCCUGCUCUGGCAGCUCUCUCUCAUGGACCUCCUCCUCACAUCAGUCAUCACUCCAAAGGCUGUCAUGGAUUUUCUGCUCAAAGACAACACUAUCUCAUUUGGGGGCUGUGCCCUUCAGAUGUUUCUGGAACUAAUACUUGGUAGUGCAGAGGACCUCCUUCUGUCUUUUAUGGCCUAUGACAGGUAUGUAGCUAUCUGCCAUCCUCUGAACUACACAAUCCUAAUGAGUCAAAGAGUCUGCUGUCUCAUGAUAGCCACCUCAUGGAUUCUUGCUUCUCUCAGUGCUCUAGAAUAUAGCAUAUAUACCAUGCAAUAUCCUUUCUGUAAGUCCAGGCAAAUCAAACACCUGUUCUGUGAGAUUCCUCCCUUGCUGGAGCUGGCCUGUGCAGACACCUCCACAUAUGAACUCAUGGUUUAUGUGAUGGGUGUGAGUUUGCUCAUCCCCCCUCUUGCUGCCAUCCUGGCCUCCUACUCACUAAUUCUGUUCACUGUGCUCCACAUGCCCUCUAAUGAGGGCAGGAAGAAAGCCCUUGUCACCUGCUCUUCCCAUCUGACUGUGGUUGGGAUGUGGUAUGGGGGUGCUAUCGUCAUGUAUGUCCUGCCCAGUUCCUUCCACAGCCCCAAACAAGACAACAUCAGCUCAGUAUUUUAUACAAUUUUCACUCCCGCUUUGAAUCCUCUCAUCUACAGCCUAAGGAAUAAGGAGGUCACUGGGGCUUUGAGGAGAGUCCUGGGGAAAAAGGUUCGCAGUACAGUCUACAUUCUAG